ACAAUGAUGUUCAAUGCUCAGAAUGUGAUAAUUUCAUGAUCUUACCUCUUUUGCUGA
rnacentral:snoRNA from 1 species